GUGCCAGCCGCCGCGGUAAGACAGAGGGUGCGAACGUUGCUCGGAAUCACUGGGCGUAAAGCGCGUGUAGGCGGACGAUCAAGUCAGGUGUGAAAUCCCUGGGCUCAACCCAGGAACUGCAUCUGAAACUGGUUGCCUUGAGUGUUGGAGAGGGAAGCGGAAUUCCUGGUGUAGAGGUGAAAUUCGUAGAUAUCAGGAGGAACACCGGUGGCGAAGGCGGCUUCCUGGACAAUUACUGACGCUGAGACGCGAAAGCGUGGGGAGCAAACAGGAUUAGAAACCCCCGUAGUCC
rnacentral:rRNA from 1 species